UAUAUCAAAGGUGCUCACGUUGAAUUGAAUCUGGUGCCGAGGGAUGAGAAUGAAGAGGAUGAUGUUGAGAACAUCAAGUUACCCAUUGUGGUGGAGGAGAUCAACGAUUGACGUUCAUCAUGUGGAUGUUGAUCUUGCUAUUUUGGAGAUGAAUGUCAAAGUGAUCUUUCUCAUGUGAAGGCUACUUUUGCAUUUCUAUUAUGUUGGAACCUUUCAAGUCAUGAACUAUGAAUUGUCACUGCUAGCUUGGAGAU